rnacentral:rRNA from 1 species
ACGGGAGGCAGCAGUGGGGAAUAUUGGGCAAUGGGGGAAACCCUGACCCAGCAACGCCGCGUGGAGGAAGGAGGUCUUCGGAUCGUAAACUCCUGUCCUCAAAGACGAGAAGAAGACGGUAUUUGAGGAGGAAGCCCCGGCUAACUACGUGCCAGCAGCCGCGGUAAUACGUAGGGGGCAAGCGUUGUCCGGAAUGAUUGGGCGUAAAGGGCGCGUAGGCGGCCCGUUAAGUCUGGAGUGAACGUCCUGCUUUUAAGGUGGGAAUUGCUUUGGAUACUGAUGGGCUUGAGUGCAGGAGAGGUAAGUGGAAUUCCCAGUGUAGCGGUGAAAUGCGUAGAGAUUGGGAGGAACACCAGUGGCAAAGGCGACUUACUGGACCGAUAUUGACGCUGAGACGCGAAAGCGUGGGUAGCAAACAGGAUUAGAUACCCUGGUA